rnacentral:rRNA from 1 species
GUGGAUUAGAUACCCUGGUAGUCCACACCGUAAACGUUGGGCGCUAGGUGUGGGGCCUAUUCCAUGGGUUCCGUGCCGCAGCUAACGCAUUAAGCGCCCCGCCUGGGGAGUACGGCCGCAAGGCUAAAACUCAAAGGAAUUGACGGGGGCCCGCACAAGCGGCGGAGCAUGCGGAUUAAUUCGAUGCAACGCGAAGAACCUUACCUGGGUUUGACAUACACCGGAAACACCUAGAGAUAGGUGCCCUUUUAGUCGGUGUACAGGUGGUGCACGGUCGUCGACAGCU